UGAGAACAAUUAAGAUGGACGGUUGUCUCU
rnacentral:piRNA from 1 species